rnacentral:rRNA from 1 species
AUUGAACGCUGGCGGCAGGCUUAACACAUGCAAGUCGAGCGGAGCGGCGGACGGGUGAGUAAUGCCUAGAAAUCUGCCUGGUAGUGGGGGAUAACGUCCGGUAACGGGCGCUAAUACCGCAUACUAUCAGAUGAGCCUCGGUCGGAUUAGCUAGUGGUUGGGGUAAAGGACUACCAAGGCUACGAUCCGUAACCGGUCUGAGAGGAUGAUCAGUCACACUGGAACUGAGACACGGCCCAGACUCCUACGGUAGGCAGCAGUGGGGAAUAUUGGACAAUGGGCGAAAGCCUGAUCCAGCCAUGCCGCGUGUAUGAAGAAGGUCUUCGGAUUGUAAAGCACUUUAAGGUGAGAGGCGUUAUCAACAGAAUAAGCACCGGCUAACUACGUGCCAGCAGCCGCGGUAAUAC